AUUGAACGCUGGCGGCAGGCUUAACACAUGCAAGUCGAGCGGUAACAGAGAGAAGCUUGCUUCUCUGCUGACGAGCGGCGGACGGGUGAGUAAUGCCUAGGAAUCUGCCUAGUAGUGGGGGAUAACUUGCCGAAAGGUAAGCUAAUACCGCAUACGUCCUACGGGAGAAAGGAGGGGACCUUCGGGCCUUUCGCUAUUAGAUGAGCCUAGGUCGGAUUAGUUAGUUGGUGAGGUAAUGGCUCACCAAGACCGCGAUCCGUAACUGGUCUGAGAGGAUGAUCAGUCACCCUGGAACUGAGACACGGUCCAGACUCCUACGGGAGGCAGCAGUGGGGAAUAUUGGACAAUGGGGGGGAACCCUGAUCCAGCCAUGCCGCGUGGGGGAAGAAGGUCUUAGGAUUGUAAAGCACUUUAAGUUGGGGGGAAGGGCAGUUAACUAAUAUUUGACUGUUUUGACUUUACCGACAAAAUAAGCACCGGCUAACUUCGU
rnacentral:rRNA from 1 species